GUUAGAAAUACCACAGAUGGAACAAGGAGGAAGCAUCGGUAAAGAUCACUUCAUGCUGACAGAGGCAUAAAGGUAAAGCGGCGUGAUCUUCAGGUAAUGCAUACAUGUUUUCACAGUGGAAAUCGAGCGUUUUGAUUUUAUUUUAUUUUUUUAACUCUCGUGGAUCUGCAGCCUUCAGUGGGAUCCGUGAAAACGAGAGACGGCAAAGGAAACCGCUGGGAAGGAAUGAGCGGACAGACGACCGCCCCACAGCUUUUCACAGGAGACCUAAAUUCAGGAGUGACCUCCCAAGAUCUCAUCCAGGUUUAUGUCCUUCAUCCAGUCGUCAUUUCCAGAACCAGAUUUCAGCAGAGCGUCGAUGAAGUCGGAGUCGGCGUUGAUGCCGGGGACCGUGUUGUCUCCCUCGGGGAGAAAGUCAAACGUCAGACGGUUCGGUCUGCUGCUUUGGUAACCGUUGGAGCUCGGACUGGACUCCUGGAAGUUUCCUGCGGGUACCCUCUGCUCGGGCGACACCUGGUUCAGGUUCCCCACAGGAGACGGUGAGCUCAUUAUGGCUGGGUGGGACCUGGGGGCCGUCUCCCUCACCGAGGGGUUCAGCGGGAGCAUGCCCAGGUCUGGCGCCACCUGGUUGGGAGGGCCCACGUGCCUCUGCGCGUACGGGUGGUUUGGCAUGUCCUGCACACCUUGCGGCGUGGGGAGACACCUGAGACCGAGUCCAGCGGUCACUUGCUUGUUGGCAGAACCCCAACCAAUGGUGGCGUUCGUCAUCAGGCCCUGUCCGGCGCCUCCGGAGGAAUGCAGGUCCGCCGUCGCCCUCUGGUGCUGAACACCCGCCGCGCUGUUCAUCCUGAACGACUUUCCCGGAGGGUUGGGACCCAGGAACCUGGGCCUGCUUUGGUUCAGUCCGACGCGGUUGUGGAUGCUGUGCUGGAACUGGUUGACGCAGGAGGAGGGCGGACAGUCUGCCGCCAUCGGUCCGCCCAUCUUUGCUGUGGAGACGUUUCGAAGGUGACAGGACAGCGACUGUAAACUGUUCUCGCCUGGAGGCUGGGAGGAGCUUUGCCCUGCGGAGACCGAAACUGUCAGGAGGAUUCUAGAGAAGGAAAACGAACGCCGAGCUGGGCGCAGGAACACCAACCUGUGAAGAUACUUCCUGGCUGAACUCCCACCAAGCCUCUGGACUGCUUGUAAUCCGGCGGGGGUCUCGUUAGAUGGCGGCUGAACUGAUCACAGGCGUUGUCUUUAUCCUAAAAAAAACCCAAACAAUUAAUAUCACUGAGGUAAACAUGAAUCAAGGGUUUUUUCAAGGCCGCUUACUGCACUGCCGAUGGAGUGCUGCUGCUGCUGCUGCUGGCUCAGCUGUCUGGGAACUGUCUGGGUUUUGGCCGGACCCUUCUGCUGGUUGUUGGGCGCCG
rnacentral:lncRNA from 1 species